UACAGAGAGCUGCAAGCGUUUAAUUCGGAGUUCAACUGGGCGUAAAGGGUGCGUCAGGCGGUUGGGUGUGUCAGAAUCGGUCGAAAUCCCGAGGGCUCAACCUCGGAACUGCGUCUGAAAACUACUCGACUAGGAGUGACUGGAGAGGGUAACGGAAUUCAACGGUGUAGCAGUGAAAUGCGUAGAUAUGCGGAGGAACACCGAUGGCGAAGGCAAUCCCCUGGGCCACUAACUGAC
rnacentral:rRNA from 1 species